rnacentral:sRNA from 10 species
UCGCGACGGUUGUAACGGGCUCGAGGAGAGUACCGGGUCAUGACAAAAGGAAAAAAGGAGAAAGGAGGAAAUGCUUGCAAAAGGCUCAGCUUUGGAGGGACUAGAGAAAAUCGAGAGGUUUUCUUCCCCACCCACAUGCCAUUGUUGAAGUUUAGAGAGAUUUGGUGGUUCGGUUUAGAAAUUCCAAGCAAGAACCUUCAAGGAUUCAAGGAACCCGGGGCAUGCAUGUAGAUAGAUCUUGGAAUACAUGGUGAUUUUGGAGCUAAAUUGACAAUGGGAAGUGUGUAAGUGAGGAAAGUGUGCAGUGGUCGCGUGCCGGAGGAAGUGAAGGGUGAUCGGCAAGUAAAAUUAGUUAGAUACGCACUUGAAUCAAUAGCGACAUAAUAUCCCACCAUUGUAAGAUAGUGAUCAGCCAUGCGUGCAAUCAUCGACACUUAUGGUCCACCACAGAUAGGUAAAGGCAUCUCAUAACACUUUAUUCCGAGUCGCUCCACUACUAGAGGUCAAGUCAUUUAUAGCUUGAUGUAUUUGUAAAAUGUGUCAAUGUAAAUCUGCAGUUAGUUACUAUAGACUUUAAUGUAUUCUUACGAUUAUGGUGGAUAAAGGAUAAGAUGGUUUAAUAUGAUUUAUGUUCAAUUCUUAUUACAAAGAGGUAUAUGGUUCAAAGUAAUUUCAUGGAUUGAUGGCAUAUUAACUAAAGUUUCAAUCAAGGCUUGUUCGGGACUUGACGAUUUCCUCCGCAAAACUCGAACGCCGGUAGCGAUUGAGGAGCCGUCAUUACACAAGGUCCUGACUUGUGAAUACUUCUACAAAGUAAUAGCACUUCCACAUUCUUGCAAUGACUUGGGAGAACUUUCUUAAUUAUUUUUGCAUACAAUUAUUCUCUCACGUUCAAUUACAAGUCAUUAAAUAGUUAAACAAUGCAAUUUCUAGUAAAAUAGGCAAAUAAAAACUACCUUAGAAUAAAGAAGUGAAGGCUCUUUUAUCACAAAUCUUUGAGAGUUUGCUA